UACCAGCACCCCGAGUGGUCGGGACGAUUAUUGGGCCUAAAGCAUCCGUAGCCGGUCCUGCAAGUCUUCCGUUAAAUCCAGCUGCUCAACAGAUGGGCUGCGGGGGAUACUACAGGGCUAGGAGGCGGGAGAGGCAAGCGGUACUUUAUGGGUAGGGGUAAAAUCCGUUGAUCCAUAGAAGACCACCAGUGGCGAAGGCGGCUUGCCAGAACGCGCUCGACGGUGAGGGAUGAAAGCUGGGGGAGCAAACCGGG
rnacentral:rRNA from 1 species